GGUGGCAAGCGUUGUUCGGAAUUACUGGGCGUAAAGGGCGCGUAGGCGGUCCGAUACGUCCCGUGUGAAAUCCCUCGGCUCAACUGAGGAAUGGCACGGGAAACUGCCGGGCUUGAGUUCGGGAGAGGGAAGCGGAAUUCCGGGUGUAGCGGUGAAAUGCGUAGAUAUCGUAAGGAAGACCAGUGGCGAAGGCGGGUCUCUGGACAGUUCCUGACGCUGAGGCACGAAGGUCAGGGGAGCAAACGGG
rnacentral:rRNA from 1 species